GCCCCUGUAGCUCAGCUCAGAGCAUCRGAUUUGUAAUCCGGGCGUCAGGGGUUCAAAUCCCCUCGGGUGCA
rnacentral:tRNA from 1 species